UCUACUUCACACACAAACCUUACUUCAUCCCCAUGGUGAACUGUAGUAUUCGUAGUAUUCAUAGCAGUAAACGUUAGGAUUGAAGCCUUAUCUACAAAAAAACAAACGUUUUAUUAAUUAGUAUCAAUUUCAAUCACUGUUUUCAGUAGUAUUUGCAAAGUUUUACAAACUAUGAGUAAUAAACAACUCUAACGAUGUUAAGAUCACAAGAAUCAACAAAGAAAAUGAAACAGCUACGAUUUUUAACAGAAUUAUAUUCACGGACAUUUGCGAUAGCAAUUCUGUAAAAGUAAUGUGCUUAUUGUAAUAAUAAUGGCCAAAGUUUACAAAAUAAAUGCAAUGCACACUGGUCAUUAACAAAAUGUCCUAAAGGCAUUUCGAGAUUACUUGUCAUUGGCUAGAAAAAUAGCUAAAUUCAUUCUUUAAAUAAAACCAAUUGAUAAUUAUUUUUACUUGAGCGUUUUUUAGAGAUAUGUUUCCUUAAAAGAAGAAGAACAGAACAGAACAGAAUUUUUAUUAGGCAUAAACAUUAACAUUUUCGUAGCCAAAUGCAUAUAAAACAGUAUUGACAUCAAUGUUGUAUGAAAAGAGCAUAAAUUCAAGAACGAAUAUAAAUAUAGCUAUUCAAAUAAUAAUAGGCAAUAAUUAAAUUAAAUUAAAGCAUAUUUGCACUUUUCAGUGGCAAUAUAAACAAAUUUAGCCAGUUUCCUUAACAAUUCGCCUUAUUCCAGAAGCCCAUAAUGCUUUGCGACAAAGGUGACUUCCGGUUUAUUUCCGCAUUCAAUUUCCUAGUUAUCGAUACGAGUGAAAGGAAGAGCAUACUUGGCAAAAUAGAUCGAUAGAGAUGUCCAUUCUGGAUGUUUGAUUCCGCCAAGUUGAUGCUCAACAGGAGUAGGCAGUUGAUACCAUUGAUCUGAUAGCACCUGCUAUAUCAGUGGUUUUACAAGAAAAAUUUGUGCAAAACACAAGAGACGGAAUCGGUUCAAGAACAGAGAUAAAAUAAAUUAAGUGUGUCAAUAUGAAUGAAAACUUUCCCUGACUGCAAGGACUAAAGAAAUGCACACAAGUGACAUAAAUUUAAAUGUUUGGUACAAAAAGUAGACAUGUAGAACUUAAAAUUAUGACACAGGAUGUGAAACAACACUAUAGCCGAUAACAGUCCAACAAGAGAUUUUUCAAAAAGAAGCAAGAUUUGGUUUUUGAACCCUUGGCAAAUGAACCUUUAAAGGGAUUAUUGCAUACCAAGGACAAUUUAUUGUUUUUGAAUUAUAUCAUGUUUAAUGUUAUUAUUAAAUUGUAAAAAAUA